GGAGUUAGGAAAUGCAGGUUAAUACCCAACCUGUUUGACAAAGGCCCCACAGGAAGCCACGGCUAACUCUGUGCCAGCAGCCGCGGUAAUACAGAGGUGGCAAGCGUUGUUCGGUAUUAUUGGGCGUAAAGAGCACGUAGGUGGUUUUGUAAGUCAGAUGUGAAAGCCUUCUGUUCAAAGGAAGAACGGCAUCUGAAACUGCAGAUCUUGAGUGUAGGAGGGGAGAGUGGAACUUCUGGU
rnacentral:rRNA from 1 species